UUGAUUUGUGGGUAAAGUGGAGGCGCCUUCUAUUCUAAACGAAAUUCACAUAAGUUUGUCAUUCUCUCAUUCACGUCUCUCUCUCAUUAACGAAGUGUAUGAAAAACACUCUCCACAGAGAAAGCUCUCUCUCAUUCACGAAGCCUCUCAGAAACGACAUCCACAGAAGAAAGCGUUUUCUCAUUCACGAUCUCCACAGAAAAAAGGUCUCUGUCAGUGACGAAGCCUCUCCUCUUAGUAACGAUCUCUCUCAAAACGCAUCAAUCCCUCUGAAAAAAGUUUUUUUAAUAUAAGGUAUAUCUGUAUCCACCGUUUGAAGUCGUUGAUGGAAGUGUGGCUUUUUGGGCAACCGUCGAAUGGAGAGGUUUCGAACGGAGAGCUGUUUUCGAUUUCUUUAUUGUGCCUUUAUUUGUUUUCUUCAUUGCCAUUAUUGUGCGAUUUUUUGCGUUUAGGUUUUGGGGCCGGUGGUUCAGAAGUCCGAAAGGUUAGGUUUUUUUGGCUGUUGCCGUUGGGGAUUUCGUUAUUUGGUGCGGUGGUGUGUAUCUGUGCAUUGUGUUUUUGUUUUUCAUCUGAAAGAUAAAACGUAUUUUCACACUUUUUAGGUAGUUUUGUUAUUUGACAUUUGAUCACUGCAUCGUGCUUUGGUUAUUUGACAUUUGAUAUCUGUUAUAACCCAAUUUCUCAUUUGAUAUGUGCUAUUUUAGGUUAGUGUUUGAUGUACGAUAUUAGUACAUCUGAAAAUGGUGCCGUGUACGAUAUUAGCUAUUAUAAUAUGGGAUGGAGAGGAGAAAUUUGAUGGCAAGAGCAUGUCUGACUACACAAAUGAGGAGUUAGCUGGUUUUAGAAUGAAGUUUAUAUGGGACUGGAUAAUGGAUGAGGACAACGUCAGAAGAAUUGAAACGCUUCACGAUCUUGGAUUGAUUUAGCUCUAGGAAUAUACUGUUGUUUUGGUUCACAUUGUAAUUUACUUUGAAAACAUUAGACAUUGAUUAGAAUUGUGGGAAAUUGUACAUUAUAUUGAAUGUAUACCGCUUAUGUGUUAUUUAAUUAGUAUUGUUCAAA